AGGAUAAACGCUGGCGGCGUGCCUAACACAUGCAAGUCGAACGCGCUCUCCCGCUUCGGUGGGAGAGCGAGUGGCGGACGGGUGAGUAACACAUGGGUACCUACCUCACAGUGAGGGAUACCGGCGAGAAAUCGCCGACAAUACCGCAUAGGCUUCUCUUUUGAGAGAGAGGGAAGCAAAGUUGCGCAAGCGACGCUAUGAGAUGGGCCUGUGGCCGAUUAGCUAGUUGGUGGGGUAAUGGCCUACCAAGGCUGCGAUCGGUAGCUGGUCUGAGAGGACGAUCAGCCACACUGGGAUUGAGAACGGCCCAGACUCCUACGGGGGGCAGCAGUGAGGAAUUUUCCGCAAUGGAGGCAACUCUGACGGAGCAACGCCGCGUGCAGGAUGAAGGUUUUCGGAUCGUAAACUGCUUUUCUCGGGGACGAGCAAGGACGGUACCCGAGGAAGAAGCCCCGGCUAACUACGUGCCAGCAGCCGCGGU
rnacentral:rRNA from 1 species